ensembl:lncRNA
UUGUUUAUAACGUCUUUAUUGAAGAUUUCAGGAGUACCGUAUGUGGAUAGACCAAUCGCCUCUAUCAAAUAAUGCUCCCACUGCAGAAUCACGUUAUUUUACACCACUACUCACCCUGUACACUGUUGAUGCUGUUUUAUAACGUAUAUUGAAGGUUUUAGCGGUACAGUAUGUGCAAUGUACAUAAUGUAAAAAAACAAACACCAAAAAAAAAAAAAAAAUCAAUUAAACUAAAUAAAUAACUCCUGAACACUGAACAAAUGUCGACUCAAAUAAAAUAGUAUAAUAAUAAAUAGUUAUGUUUAACAAUGUGUUCUCAUCCAGACCAUUGGUUUUGGGAUGAUAGGCAGCUGUCACACUACUUUGAAUAGCCAAAAUACUGCAAAGUCUGGUGUUGAGCUGAAAUAAAAUCAGUUCAUGUCAAAAAAAAAAUACAUUCCAAGCAGAAAGGAAUAAUUCCUGAAUUGUAUUUACUACAAUAGCAUUAUUAAAACGCACACACUUCACUAACAAACUCUCUUCCCUGGUCAGAUACGAUUAUUUUGGGACAAAAAUGUGUAUAAAUAAUUGAGCAGAUGUGGCGCCCCACUUCAGCUGCAGUUUUUUUCUUUAAUGGGAAAGCCUCAACCCAUUUUGAAAAGUAAUCUGUGGCUGUUAAAAUGUACUGGAAGCCAUCCACAGUUUUUGGGAGAGGUCCGGUCAGGUCAAUACCAAUUAGCUCCCAGACAACAGACACCUAUCAAGGUAAAACAAAUAUAAUUAUUUUUAUUAUCUUUAUUAAUAGCUGUUGGAUAAGCAACCCAGUCACCAAGAAAAAACGUUGACGUGUACGUUUCCAUGAACACUGGAUACGUAGCAUUUCAACGUAAAAACAGCGUGUUAUACCUACAGUAUCCACGCGUGCCGCUGUGGAGGCGGGUUUCUAUGGAGGUAGAUUUGUGUCUUUAUUAUGCAAUCAAAAAUAAUAGGUUUGAGAGCAAAACCUUCCACACUGCAAUCAAAAAAUAGAUUUGAGAGCAAAACUAUCGACACUGCAAUCAAAAAAUG